rnacentral:rRNA from 1 species
UACGUAGGGUGCGAGCGUUGUCCGGAAUUACUGGGCGUAAAGAGCUCGUAGGUGGUUUGUCGCGUUGUCCGUGAAAACUCACAACUCAAUUGUGGGCGUGCGGGCGGUACGGGCAGACUGGGAGUACUGCAGGGGAGACUGGAAUUCCUGGGUGUAGCGGUGAAUGCGCAGAGUAUCAGGAGGAACACCGGUGGCGAAGGCG